CAGUCGCCACGGGAAUACGAAGGGGGCUAGCGUUGUUCGGAAUUACUGGGCGUAAAGCGCACGUAGGCGGACAUUUAAGUCAGGGGUGAAAUCCCGGGGCUCAACCCCGGAACUGCCUUUGAUACUGGGUGUCUAGAGUAUGGAAGAGGUGAGUGGAAUUCCGAGUGUAGAGGUGAAAUUCGUAGAUAUUCGGAGGAACACCAGUGGCGAAGGCGGCUCACUGGUCCAUUACUGACGCUGAGGUGCGAAAGCGUGGGGAGCAAACAGGAUUAGAUACCCCCGUAGUCCCUGUCUCUUAUAC
rnacentral:rRNA from 1 species